CUGAUGGUACCUGCACGUCUCAUCGUUUUCUGCCGAAGCAAACACUCUACGAAAUCAUCAGAUUCUAUCUUGCACUCUUUCUCUGCCCGGAUAACACUGAUUCCAUAUGCACAUUCUAUCCAUUCUUUUUCAAAAGCAUGGCAUCGAGCAGCAAUCUUGUAGGGCUGUUCAGCACUCUGGAUUGUCCACCAUUGAUCUAUGUUAAGGCCGAAUCUUUUCUGGAUGGCCAAGAAAGGCAUGGUGAUCCGAUGCUCAUGUCUUUGUGUCUUCUCUGGCCGCCGCUUCAGGAUGACCCCUAGUCUACUUUUCACCACACUGUGCUGCUCCCUGAAUUUCUCUGCUCCCACCUCCUCUGGGUCCAGUUUAGAGUGAAUUCAGACCGGGAACGCAGGUCUUCAGCAGCUUCAGGGGCAGGAACAAGAGGCAGCCUAGUGAGAAUUUACAAGGAUCAUGGCCUUAU
rnacentral:lncRNA from 1 species